GAAGAACUGUCAUGGAAAAGAUGGAGUGGGAUUAUAUAAGGCCCUGGAUGUGAAACCAGAAAUCAAUGAGAACAUGACAGGGGCCAAGCUUCACCUCAGCCGUCAGUCUUCUUACAGCCCCCAAAGCUACAGUGAGAACGGCUUCCCAACUACGGUUUGUCUGACCUCACCAAGGGGUUAUCACCAUGGCCUGUAUUAAUAGUUCUCAGAUUUUUCCUAUAAUUAGGCAGUUUGGGGUCUGGAGAAGAUGUACAUCCUGUCUCUGUAAACUCAGGUUGAAGUCUGUGGUUCUGCAGAGCUCAGAGAGGGGCAGUAACAGUUUCAGAAGAUGAAGGGGAACUACAGCAUUGUAUACAAACUUAGACCACAGAAUCUUCCAAAGAAUCUCCCUUCUCCUAACCCUGGAUCCCUGAACUGUUGAGAGGACAAGGAGCUUCCUGAGUAUGAAGGACUCAUCCUUAAAGCAUGAAGCAUAUCAUGCUGUACCAAGGACACUGAAACAUAGGGGUGAAGACACCAGACCAACAUCGCUGUCUUCAAAAACUCACCACCAGUGUCCUUUGGCAGAGGAGGCAGGGCUAUCAGAACUGUCACUCAUCCAUGAAAGUGGAAGAAGCACCAUGUAGGGAGGAGAAGGAAACCAGCAGGAAGGAAAGAAGGAGAAAUAGCAAUGAACAGAUGUGGUCGAAGGGACAUGCAUCAAUGAACAUGUUUUCAUAGAAGCCAUCACUGUGGACAAUAAAUACAUAAAUAAAAAAUUCAAAUGCCUCAGUCAUCGAAACUGAGAAAACCCUGGAGAAACUUGCAGUUGGGAGGGGA